UACGUAGGGUGCGAGCGUUGCCCGGAUUUAUUGGGCGUAAAGGGUGCGUAGGCGGCGCGGUAAGUCGGAUGUGAAAUCUCGGAGCUUAACUUCGAAACUGCAUUCGAUACUGCCGUGCUUGAGGACUGGAGAGGAGACUGGAAUUUACGGUGUAGCGGUGAAAUGCGUAGAUAUCGUAAGGAAGACCAGUGGCGAAGGCGGGUCUCUGGACAGUUCCUGACGCUGAGGCACGAAGGUCAGGGGAGCAAACGGG
rnacentral:rRNA from 1 species